UCCUAGCAGCUAGCACUGUGAGCUACUUUGGUAGAAGUGUAAAAGUUUGUGUCCAAAAACAAGCACAGGCUGAAAGCAGGCCAAGAGCAAGGCACAGCCAGAUUCAGUUCUGUGUGUCCACCUGCACACUGAGUUGCAGCUGCUGCAGUUGUGUGUACCCUUUAUCUGUUGCUGGAUGCUGAGAGCAAACCCAGACCUCAUAAAAAGAAAACUGUCACUACCAUUACGAUACUGUGCAUGCAGAUGAAGCUUGAUUCAAGUAUGGCAGUGAAGUCUUCUGACUGACCUGUCCCCACUAGUUAGGAGUUGCGUUUGCUUGCUUAAAUACAGUAAGCUGUUCUCACUUAUGGUAUGUCCUUUGCCAUAAACAUCCCUCUGACAAAAUGGUUGUUUUGACAUCAUCCUCUAGUGGCUAGGAUGACCAAGCCUUGGAGAAAUACAGCACCUCCCCCAGAGCUGUGAUGGCCGUGCUACUGCUUGCUGAUCCUCCCUCUGAUCUGUGCUUUUCCUUUACAGGACACAGUUCUUAAUUGUGGCCCAAGUCCCUGUGGAACGUUUGCUCACCUGCACUGCAUUUUGCUUUGCAUAGUUUAGAGGAAAUUAACCAGCAAGACUUCAGGGCUGAGCUUUAAGAAUGGAAACAUACUCAGCUGCUUGAAAGAGACCAAGUUUCUAAGGUCUGUGUCAGCCUGGGAAAUCCACCCUCUGUGGCCAAAUGCAAAUUGCAGCACAAUCCCAGGAGCCCCCAGGAAUGGAAAUCAUAGCCCUGGCAGGUCAGGAUGCAAAGCCAGCUUUCAGAAAACUGUUUUUCAGCAGCAGAGAGUUCAUGCUGAAUUCUGUGCUUGGUUGAUCUGAACAGAUCUUUAUACUAUGAUGAGCAAACCACACUGUCUACCAAAUGAUGUCCAAAUCUUCUUUCUCACCCUUUGCUUCCCUUUCCUGCAUGUGAAGAAGCAGCCCGCUGAUCAUCGGGGGCUCAGUUUGCCAUCAGGGAGUGUCAGCAGUUACCUGAAAGCUUCGUUGGCUGUCAGAGGGCUCCAUUGAUCAUCAGAGAUCUUCACUGAGGUCAGAGGGCUUCGCUAAUCAACAGAGGGUGUCAUCAGUCAUCAGAGAGGAGAUUUGAGGCCCCCUCAAGAUACCAAAGGCCCCAGUCUCUUCUCCAGGCUGCCAAAUUCGAUGCACAUCAAGAAAUGCUUCAUAAAGACAAGACAGUGGAACUAUAAAGACUAGAAUGUCUUUAACCUCAACAAAAUAAUUUCAAACGUCAGAUGGACUCUGAUAUAGAAGCUUGUUAUGUGAGAGCAAAUCUGACUGCGGGGAAAAGCAAAACCCUAUUGUGCUGGUGACUUUGGAGCAGAAAACUACCGGG